AUGAUCAUCUCCAAGAAGAACCGCCGCGAUAUCUGCAAGUACCUCUUCCAGGAGGGAGUCUUGUACGCCAAGAAGGACUACAACCUGGCCAAGCACCCCCAGGUCGAUGCCUUGAACCUCGAGGUCAUCAAGCUCAUGCAGAGCUUCAAGUCCAAGGAGUACGUCAGGGAGACCUUCUCGUGGCAGCACUACUACUGGUACCUGGCCAACAACGACAUUGAGUUCCUCCGCACCUUCCUCAACCUGUCGUCUGAGAUCGUGCCCAAUCGAUCCUGGGGCGCAUCCCCCAGAUUCGCCGGCGGACAUCAAGGCCAUGGCUUGGACCUUGCUGCCCUCUACCAAGGAAGGAGCGAGCUCGUGCAGAUGACGGCGGCUCCACAUGGACUAACUGCCUGCCUACCUAAUUGA
rnacentral:rRNA from 1 species